AAAGGGCGCGUUUUGGCGCUGGUGACCGGGGGUGACCGGGGGUGACCGGGGAUGGCCGGGAAGAUGAAAGAGCACUGAAACUGUCCCAUUUCCUGGCACCUCAACCCUUCAUAAAUACGGGUCCAUAUACAGAGGCUCCAGUUUACACAAGACAAAAAUGGCGUGGAGGUAAAUCCCUUUCAGCAGCUGAAUAGAAGGCUAAGAUGGCCGCGACGUUUACACUUUGUACAAAGGUUAGGAAACAGUUCCUUGUGAGGGAAAAGGAGAACCGGCCGAGAGGGGACACUUCGGCCAAAGCCAGAUUUCUAACAAAGUAGCUUGAAGCGCCUUUUGAACGCAGAAGAGGGCUGUUAGCUACGCUGACGGAACAGGGGUAGCAGUCACAGACUAGGUAAUGAAAACGGUUGGAACGUGCCAAAAUUAUGUUGGGUGAAAGGCAUGGGGAAAAGCCAGUAAAAGCCAGAAAGUAUAGUUCCCAAGGCGGAGGGGAGAGCCUGGGACCCAGGUGGAGCCAAAUAUG
rnacentral:lncRNA from 10 species